rnacentral:rRNA from 1 species
UCAAGCGAACAAGAGCACAGAGUGAAUGCCUUGGCACUGGGAGCCGAUGAAGGACGCGGUAAGCUGCGAAAAGCCUCGGGGAGCUGCAAACGAGCUUUGAUCCGGGGAUGUCCGAAUGGAGCAAUCCGGCAGGUUAACAGCCUGUCACCGUACACUGAAUUCAUAGGUGUGCGGAGGGAACCGCCUGAACUGAAACAUCUAAGUAGGGCGAGGAAGAGAAAUCAACAGAGAUUCCGCCAGUAGUGGCGAGCGAACGCGGAACAGGCCAAACCGGAGAUCGCAAGAUCUUCGGGGUUGCGGACUGCAUUUAGCAUUGACGAUGUCUACCUGAACUGUAUGGGAAGGCAGACCGGAGCGGGUGAGAGUCCCGUAAGGAAAAGGCAGCGUCAGCGAGCAGGAUCCAGAGUACCGCCGGACACGUGAAACCCGGUGGGAAGCAGGGGGGACCACCCUCCAAGCCUAAAUACUACCCAGUGACCGAUAGCGCAUAGUACUGUGAAGGAACGGUGAAAAGCACCCCGGGAGGGGAGUGAAACAGAACCUGAAACUCUGUGUUUACAAGCACCGAAAGGACGUCAAGGUCCGAUCGGGUACUUUUUGUAGAACGGUCCGGCGAGCGUAUGUAACGAGCGAGGUUAAGGACUUCAGGUCUGAAGCCGAAGCGAGAGCGAGUCUGAACAGGGCGCACAGUUCGUUGCAUAGGGCCCGAAACCGGGUGACCUAUCCAUGUCCAGGUUGAAGUGGAGGUAAAACUCCAUGGAGGACCGAACCGACCUCCGUUGAAAAGGCGGCGGAUGAGGUGUGGAUAGCGGAGAAAUUCCAAUCGAACCCGGAUAUAGCUGGUUCUCCCCGAAAUAGCUUUAGGGCUAGCCUUGAAUAUAUUUGCCGGAGGUAAAGCACUGACUGGACGAGGGGUCGAGAGACUACCAACUCCUAUCAAACUCAGAAUGCCGGACAAAUGAGUUCAGGAGUCAGACUGUGUGAGAUAAGUCUCACGGUCAAAAGGGAAACAGCCCAGACCUACAGCUAAGGUCCCAAAUAUAUGCUAAGUGGAGAAGGAUGUGACAAUGCUAAGACAACUAGGAUGUUGGCUUAGAAGCAGCCACUCAUUCAAAGAGUGCGUAAUAGCUCACUAGUCGAGUGAUGUUGCGCCGAAGAUUUAACGGGGCUAAGCAUAUAACCGAAGCUUAGGCAGUGCGUAAGUACUGGGUAGGGGAGCGUUCUGUGCGGGGUGAAGUCGUACCGGAAGGAGCGGUGGACUGCACAGAAGUGAGAAUGCCGGAAUGAGUAGCGAGAAUUGCGUGAGAAUCGUAAUGGCCGAAAAUCUAAGGUUUCCUGGGGUAGGUUCGUCCGCCCAGGGUAAGCCGGGGGCUAAGGCGAGGCCGAGAGGCGUAGUCGAUGCACAUACGGUAGAGAUUCCGUAGCCUCCACAAUUUAAGUACACGGACACACUUAUGAAGUGCUGACCGGGCGUUGGUUGACCCGGAACGAAAGCGACUGAAAUAUAGUAAGGAAGAUGCAUGACAGGGUGGCGAGAAAAGGUGUAUGUAUAGAAGUGGAGCCCGUACCGCAAACCGACACAGGUAGAUGAGGAGAGAAUCCUAAGGCCAUCGGGAGAAGGGUUGUUAAGGAACUCGGCAUAUUGACCCCGUAACUUCGGGAGAAGGGGUGCCUGCGCAAGCAGGCCGCAGUGAAAAGGCCCAGGCAACUGUUUACCAAAAACACAGGUCUCUGCAAAAGCGUAAGCUGAAGUAUAGGGGCUGACGCCUGCCCGGUGCCGGAAGGUCAAGGGGAUUGCUUAGCGCAAGCGAAGGCAAGAACUUAAGCCCCGGUAAACGGCGGCCGUAACUAUAACGGUCCUAAGGUAGCGAAAUUCCUUGUCAGGUAAGUUCUGACCCGC